rnacentral:rRNA from 1 species
AUGGGAACGCGAAGAACCUUACCUAGACUUGACAUCUUCUGCAGUAAUCGUAAUGGAUGAAAUCCCUUCGGGGACAGAAUGACAGGUGGUGCAUGGUUGUCGUCAGCUCGUGUCGUGAGAUGUUGGGUUAAGUCCCGCAACGAGCGCAACCCCUAUUAUUAGUUGCUAACAUUAAGUUGAGCACUCUAGUGAGACUGCCCGGGUUAACCGGGAGGAAGGCGGGGAUGACGUCAAAUCAUCAUGCCCCUUAUGUCUAGGGCAACACACGUGCUACAAUGGUGAGUACAGAUAGAUGCGAUACCGCAAGGUGGAGCCAAACUCUAAAACUCAUCCCAGUUCGGAUUGUAGGCUGCAACUCGCCUACAUGAAGUUGGAGUUGCUAGUAAUCGCGAAUCAGAAUGUCGCGGUGAAUACGUUCCCGGGUCUUGUACACACCG